rnacentral:ncRNA from 2 species
AAUUAAAUGUAGAUUUUCCUUCAUAUAAUAAUGGGGAUAUGGCCCAUGAGUUUCUACCCAAUGACCGUAAAUUAUUGGACUAUGAGGGAAAGUGGUUUUUAU